CAGUAGCCGCGGGAAUACGUAGGUGGCAAGCGUUGUCCGGAAUUAUUGGGCGUAAAGGGCUCGCAGGCGGUUUCUUAAGUCUGAUGUGAAAGCCCCCGGCUCAACCGGGGAGGGUCAUUGGAAACUGGGAAACUUGAGUGCAGAAGAGGAGAGUGGAAUUCCACGUGUAGCGGUGAAAUGCGUAGAGAUGUGGAGGAACACCAGUGGCGAAGUCGACUCUCUGGUCUGUAACUGACGCUGAGGAGCGAAAGCGUGGGGAGCGAACAGGAUUAGAUACCCCCGUAGUCCCUGUCUCUUAUAC
rnacentral:rRNA from 1 species